ACCGCCAGUGGAAAUGCACUUUUCACUGGCGGUUUUCUUAAGGAAACCGCCAGUGAAAAGUGCAUUUCCACUGGCGGC
rnacentral:pre_miRNA from 7 species